AGAGUUUGAUUCUGGCUCAGGAUGAACGCUAGCUACAGGCUUAACACAUGCAAGUCGAGGGCAGCAUAUUGGUAGCUUGCUACUAAUGAUGGCGACCGGCGCACGGGUGAGUAACGCGUAUCCAACCUUCCCUAUACUAGAGGAUAGCCCGGCGAAAGUCGGAUUAAUACUCUAUGUUCUUCGUAGAUGACAUCUGAAAUGAAGCAAAGGUUUUACCGGUAUAGGAUGGGGAUGCGUCUGAUUAGGUUGUUGGCGGGGUAACGGCCCACCAAGCCUACGAUCAGUAGGGGUUCUGAGAGGAAGGUCCCCCACAUUGGUACUGAGACGCGGACCAAACUCCUACGGGAGGCAGCAGUGAGGAAUAUUGGUCAAUGGGCGAGAGCCUGAACCAGCCAAGUAAGCGUGCAGGAUGACGGCCCUAUGGGUUGUAAACUGCUUUUGUACGGGAAUAAAGUGCGGGACGUGUCCCGUUUUGUAUGUACCGUAAGAAUAAGGACCGGCUAAUUCCGUGCCAGCCGCAGC
rnacentral:rRNA from 1 species